AGCCGCAGCUGGGCUGCUCUGGGCCACUCACCCCACUGGAGCCCAGAGAUCUUGGAGCUUCAUUGCACCAUGUGUGGCAUUUGGGCGCUCUUUGGCAGCAAUGACUGCCUUUCUGUUCAGUGUCUGAGUGCUAUGAAGAUUGCACACAGGGGUCUGGAUGCAUUCCAUUUUGAAAAUGUUAAUGGGUACACCAAUUGCUGCUUUGGAUUUCACCGGUUGGCAGUAGUUGACCAGCUGUUUGGAAUGCAGCCAAUUCGAGUGAAGAAAUAUCCUUACUUGUGGCUCUGUUACAACGGUGAAAUCUACAACCACAAGAAGCUGCAACACCAUUUUGAAUUUGAAUACCAGACCAAAGUGGAUGGUGAAAUAAUCCUUCAUCUUUAUGACAAAGGAGGAAUGGAACAAACAGUUUGUAUGUUGGAUGGAGUAUUUGCAUUUAUUUUACUGGAUACUGACAAUAAGAAAGUGUUCUUGGGCAGAGAUACCUAUGGAGUGAGACCUUUGUUUAAAGCCAUGACAGAAGAUGGAUUUUUGGCCGUGUGUUCAGAAGCUAAAGGACUUGUUAACUUGAAGCACUCCAUGACUCCUUUUAUAAAAGUGGAGCCUUUUUUUUGCCAGGACAUUAUGAAGUUUUGGACUUAAAGCCAAAUGGCAAAUUAGCAUUGGUGGAAAUGGUGAAAUACCAUCACUGUAGAGAUGAGCCUCUGUAUGCCCUGUAUGACAGUGUGGAGAAACUCUUCCCAGGUUUUGAGAUAGAAACUGAAGAGCAACCUCUGGAUUCUUUUUGACAAUGCCAUUAAGAAAUGUUUGAUGAUGGACAGAAGGAUUGCUGCCUUUUAUCAGGUGGCUUGGAUUCCAGUUUGCUUGCUGCCACUCUGUUGAAGCACCUAAAAGAGGCCCAAGUACAGUACCCUCUCCAGAUAUUUGCGAUUGGCAUGGAGGACAGUCCUGAUUUACUAAAUUCGAGAAAAGUGGCAAAUCAUACUGGGAGCGAACACCAUGAAGUCCUCUUUAACUCAUUCAGGUCCUGGAUGAAGUCAUAUUUUCCUUGGAAACUUAUGAUAUUACAGCAGUCUGUGCUUCAGUAGGUAUGUACUUAAUUUCUAAGUACAUUAGGAAGAACAUAGAUAGCGUGGUGAUCUUCUCUAGAGAAAGUUCAGAUGAACUUACGCAGGGUUAUAUAUAUUUUCACAAGGCUCCUUCCCCAGAGAAAGCUGAGGAGGAGAGUGAGCGGCUUCUAAGGGAACUGUACUUGUUUGAUGUUCUCUGAGCAGAUCAAACUACUGCGGCCCAUGGCUUUGAAUUGAGAGUCCCUUUCUUGGAUCAUUGCUUUUCUUCCUACUAUUUCUCUGGCACCAGAUAUGAGAGUUCCCAAGAAUGGGAUAGAAAAGCAUCUGCUGAGAGAGACAUUUGAGGGCUCCAAUCUGAUACCUAAAGAGAUUCUCUGGCGACCAAAAGAAGCCUCAGUGACGGAAUUACCUCAGUUAAAUAUUCCUGGUUUAGGAUUUUACAGGACUAUACUGUUGAUGAUGCAGCAUUGGCAAGCACAGCCCAGAAAUUCCCCAUCAAUACCCCCAAAACAAAAGAAGGCUAUUACUGCUGUCAGAUCUUUGAAAACAACUACCUGGGCCAUGCCGACUGGCUGCCCCAUUACUGGAUUCCCAGGUGGACCAGUGCCAUGGACCCUUCUGCCUCCACUCUGACCCAUUACAAGGCUGCUGCCAAAGCUUAG